ACUGAGGCCACCAUGUGCACGGUUUUCAGCUAUGCCUCAUUCGCUUGCUGUGUGAAUCUGGGCUGCAGGGCCUGCUGCUGUGUGCCACAGGCCAGUGCCCUGCAGUGCAAUUGUACCUGAGGACCCAAGGUGGCCAGGGAAGCCCCAGGUGCGACUUGGCAGGGGAAGCAGGGGCUGUGGACGGAUGGAGAGCUGUCAUGUGGAAAGGCAGUGUGUCCCCAGGCCGUGGCCCAGCCUCCAACACCCCCAAGUCCCCUCCAGGCCUCUCCAGACCAGGCCCACCACAUACUGCCUGUGCAACCUCGGAAACCUCCUGGGAACAUCCACCAUAUGCCAGGCAUAGUGUCAGACAGGAGGGGACAGAGAAAAACAAGAUCAACAACCGCCCUGCCCUUGUGGAGCUGGCGUUCUAGUACCGGAGACAAAACAAGGUGCUUCCAAGGAGGAAGCCGUGCUCAUCAGGUAAUCCGCAUAAUCGCUCAGGAGGAGACUUGGCAGCCAGAUGGAGACGCCACCUGGGGUCUUAGGGGAACAGCAUUCCAGGCAGAGGGAACUGCAGCUGCAAAGAUCCUGAGGAGGAAUGAGUGCCCAGCGUUUGAGAAGCAGAGCCGGCCUCUGGACGCCUGCCCUAGGGAGAAGGCUUUCCACCUCAUUUUUAGGGUCCUAGGGGAUCCCCUCCACUGUGAAUGCACGAAUGCACAAGGAUGACAUCGGCCCUUUUAUAGAGGGGAAGUUCUUCCCGUAAACAAACCAAAGUCCCUCUGGGGGACUUUGCAACUGAAGCUGAGCCUUCUCUUUUAGUCACUCCCACCCCCCAGACCCAGAGCCAGCUGAUUCCUCCUGCAUCCUGCUCACAGCUCCAGGAAAGCGUCCUGGUGGGGAAAGUCAGUGAAACACCAGGUGGCCUAAGACACACACAGUAGAUGAGGGAGUAUGGUUGAAACAAGACUUGUCCUGAGUUGAUAUGGAAGCUGGGUAAUGGAUACAUCCACCUUCAUUAUAUGAUUUUCUCUAUAUUAGUAAGAAAACAAAAGCUUUUAUUAAAAAUUUUAAACAUGAUAUAAAUCUCUAGCUUAAGUGUGAGUCCCCAUUCUUUCACCUCCCAGGGUUAACUGCAAUGAACGGUUAGGUGUAUGUGCCCCUGACCUUCUCCAUGUAAACACUAACUGUGAAUAUUGCUAACACACACACUCUUAAAACAAGGAUGAGCUACUACAAUGCACACCAUUUCUCCAACAGCUUUUCACUUCACCAUAUUUUGAGAUGGAUGGCCACGUCAACACUAUCUCAGUCUUUAACAACUAGCCCCAUGGUACUCCCCUGUAUCAAAGAGCCAUAAUUUAUUCAUCCGAUCCUCUAAUGAUAGACAAUUGGAGUAUCUCCAAUUUUUGCUAUUAAGAACAAUGAUGGAAUGAACAUCCUUGUACAUAAUAUCUGUGUACCUGUGUGAGCAAUUUUACAACCUAUCUUUCUAGAAGUGGAAUCACUAUGUCAAAGUGGUCACAGACUUAAAAUUUAAAUAACAUGUCCAACUUGCCCUUCUGGUGGACUUUCUGUGUCAAGUGCACUACAUUCUCUCCUAGUGCACAUCUGGAGACUAUUGUCAUUUGGUGCCUGCUGUAGAAAAGCCUCAUGGCGUCACAGCUGGAAAGGGCCUCCGAGAUCUUGUGGUCUUGCUUCCAGGGAAGGGUGGGGCCCAGCCCCCGAUGCUGUCAGGGCCACGUGCAGCUCCCUGGGCUGGAGGUUGUGUAGAGCAGUGCUCACGAAGAUACUGCCCAUGUCUGAAUCCCAGGCUUACCAUUUACUGUUGUAUGACCUUGAAUACUUGCCUUGUCCGUGCCUCAGUUUUCUCAUCUGUAAGCUGAGGAUAAUACUAAUUCUGGGGUGGCAACUGGAAAGGGGUUAGGAGAUUUUUCUUGAAGCUACAUUAACAAAGUAUAUAUUUAUUUGGGGUGGCUUUCAGGGGAUUGAUGGAUGAUGGGGGGUGGGCACUAAGGACUCCCAUCAGACACCACCAGCGCUGCCAGAGCUAAUUUCAAAUGAUGACAGCUGGACUUAGUGAGAUUCGACGUGACGAAUGCCCAGCACACGGCACACAGCCUGGCACACUGUCAGUGCUCGAUGGUUGUGAAUUCUUGAAUGCUGACAGGUGCUGUCUGGGACAGGGAGACCAACAUUUCAGAGAGACUGUCCAGGAGAGGGAGGCCCGAGCAACAGGAAAAGAGGGGACCCAAGAAACAGCCUAAUCCAGCCCGCCACUUACUACUUAAAUAAAGUUUGAUUGUAACACAGCUGCGCCCCUUCAUUAUGUAAUGUCUAUGGAUGCUUGCACUUGACAAUAUCAAAGCUGAGUAGUUUCGACAGAGACCAUAUGGCCUGACAAGGCUAAAAUAUUUAGUAUCUGGCCCUUUACAGAAAAAAUCUGCCAACCCCUGGCAUAGGGGUUAUAGGCAUACUAAUACAUGCUGAUAGUUCUUGAGCUCACACCGUGUUUCAGGGACUGUUCUAAGCACGUCACAUAUAUAAAUUUCUUUAGUCCUCACAAUACUCGUAUGACAUGGCUACUAUUUAUGGUAGCUAGUCUCAAUGGUGGCCCCAGUGAACCACGUCUCCUGGGGCUGACGCCUCUGUGGGCCCCCCACCUCGAGUCUGGGACAUCCUGUGCCGUGUGCUGACUAAUGGCAUGCGGUCGAGUGCCAGGCCUGGCAUUAAGGAGGAUGGGUACUUCUGCUUCUUUGCUCUGGGGAACACUGAGGUGCUGCACGCAGAGCAGAAGGGGAAGCCAUGGGGAAAGGAGAGGCUCUGAGGCUGCAAGGAAAGGACGAAGGUCCAGCCAGCCCUGUCUCAGUCCAGCCUCCAGUGACCUCACCCAGCUACCAUGCAGCCACACUUACAGCAAGCAAGACCAGCAGGACUGCCGGGCAGAGCCCAGUCCACUCUCAGAACCAGAGAGACAAGAAAAUAGUGCUCAAGCCACUCUGCUUUGUGGGGUGGGGUGGUUCUGCAGCAAUAGCUGGCUGAGACACACCACACCAGAGCCUUCGCCUUUCCACC
rnacentral:lncRNA from 10 species